rnacentral:misc_RNA from 1 species
AACGCACAUUGCGCUCUCUGGUAUUCCGGAGAGCAUGCCCGUUUCAGAAUCAUUAAAACCAAUCGGCUGCUUUGUUGCCGGAGGGACGCACGUUCGUCCCACGGCGGCGGGGGAGUCGGAAGAUGGACUGAUUUGCUGCGUCGCCGCAGCAAUAGUCUUGAAUAUAUUCUACGCGUACGGAGUGGGUUAACCUCCACUGGCCGACCCUUUGUGCAACAGGAGCAUUUUUGUCUUUUAUUUUUCACUGGGGGGCAGCUAGUCGGCGCGAACACUCGCUCAAAAACGUGAUCUGAAAUCGGGCAAGAAAACCCGCUGAACUUAA